UUCUGCGCUAAGAACCGCGAAUUUGCGAAUUUCGUACUUUAGCAUUUCAUACGGAUUUGAUAAUUUGAUCAUUGAAAUAUUAACAAAUGAGAGGAACGUGACGGACUUGGGUGACUAAUAUAUAAGUAUAGCAUAAACAAUAACCGCUAGUCGAUAAGAAAUAUGAACUUAUUGACUAACUCAUUCUUAUAGUUUACAUUAUAAUAAUCUCCAUACGUUGAAAUGUAUCGAAAUAAGGCUUUCUUUGAUUUCUUAUAUAAAUAGUUCUAGUAUUCCAAUACGAUACUUUUACCCACUUUCAUCUUAUAAACAUUAGGCUAGGACAUAUCCUUCGUCACUCUUAUGCUAAGGACCUAGAAUAAUAAGGGCAUUGUGUGGUUGCGAAGCGAGCGUGUGAAACCGAAGCGUGGGUCGCGAGACCCCAGAAUUCGAAUGAGUGGGAGAAUGAAGAACAACGUGAUUGGUCCGCGUAUGAGCGGAACGUACGGAGUCUGCGCGUGAGAAUCAAAAGAUUUGUGAGACUAAAAGUCGAACGGAAUAGAAUUAAGGGAGAACAUUGUUGUCAGCCGAAGAGUCAAGAUCCAUAUUUUCGUCAAUAUAUUCAUAAAACAUUUAAAUCUUUGUCUUGAGUUAUUGAAGAGAAAUUCGCAAGGCGAGUUUCAACUCCUUAUCAAUCGAACCCACCCAAAACUAAAUCAUUCGAAAUAAUAGUUACUAUAAUUCCCGCUCGGAGCGUUACAGUACACGUCUUGUGUAAUAACAAUAACGAUUAAAAUGUCACAGUUCUUACAAUUAUCGAAUUAGUCACAAUAUUUGCAUGUCUAUUUCAUGUAUCUUUCACUUGCUCCACUUUAAUUCAGUUCAAUCACUACGUUUCGCGAGAAAUUCACAAGUUCAAUUUCGUAUCCCACCGCGCUGCCACCAAUAAAAUGAGCAAGCCUUGAAGCCUCUUUGAGAUUAUGAAGCCAGGUUAAUGAACGAUGAUCAGUAAUCAAGUGGUGGAAUAGUUCAUCUCUGCGGCAUUUAAGGUACGGGAUGCAUAUGCAAUCGGGAGAUCUUUACCUACAGGUCCUUGGCUCAAUACAGCGCCCAAGGCAUAUCCGGAUGCGUCUGUUGUGAUAACAAAUGGUUGAGUAAAGUCAGGGUACUGCAAUAAUGGUUGAGAGCAUAGAAUCUUCUUUAUUUCGUUAAACGAAUUUUCUUGCGCCUCCACCCACUGAAAUUCAGUCGUCUUUUUCAGCAAUAUUGUUAAAGGUUUUGUAAUUGUGGCGAAAUUUGGAAUAAAUCGUCUGUAAUAACCGGCUAACCCCAAAA